AGGUGCUAUUUCAGAUAUGUUGGGCAAUUUCUUAAAUUUAACUUUGAUUGAAUUGUUUAGCUGUUUCAGGAAAUUAUUAUUUCUUAUGGAUUCAGAAAUGGGAAAAAUACAAUUGUAACGAGAGAAACGGAGUCUUCAAUCAAAUAUUAUAAAAAUAUCAAUUUGAAUUUAAUCAUAUUUUACUGAUUGCACCGAGGAAAAUUCAAUUGACUUAAAUGAACCCAACAAUUAUGCCAGAGGAGAGUACACACUUUUGAUGGAGCUUCUCACACACCGUAAGUGAAUUUACAAGUGGUGUCACAAAUACUGACAUCAAAGUCUUUCAAAUAAUGGGUGACAAUAUUAGGGAUGAUCCAAUUAUUAUUGAGAACAAGUAUCAAUCAACCAAGAUGAAAAUUUAUAGUGACUCUUGCUGCAUAUGUUUGGGUACUUCUGAUGAUGGGGGAGAACUACGAAUAACCAACUGUGGACAUAAAAAUUCAUUUUCAAUGCAUCAGAAAGUGGCUGAAGAGAAACAAUUCUUGUCCUGUUUGCAGAAAGAUUGUUUGACUCUAUAGGAUAUGAGCCUUUGGUUCUCAUUUAAAACAAAAAAAAUUCUCAAGCCACAUUUUCAGUUGAUUAACUUGGUGGAGACACUACAUGCUUCUGUGUCUUGUUUAUUGAUGGAGUAGAAUUAUUUAAAUGAUAAAUCUAUGGAUAUUUUAAGUUUGACAUAUUUUUUUUCUUUCAACAUAGCCAUCAAUCAAUCAUUUUAUCAACAUUAGUCUGAAAAAUAUCAUUUCUUACUUUUUCAGUGUGGUGUAUUUUCACUACGAACCAUUGUAGUAUUUAAUACUUUUUGAGAUUUUUGAUUUUACCAACGUACUAGUAACA